rnacentral:tRNA from 1 species
AGGCACUUAAUUUAAGGAAAAUAUUUGAUUUCGGCUCAAAAACUUGUGGUUUAAGUCCACAAUUGCCUA